rnacentral:rRNA from 1 species
UACGAAGGGGGCUAGCGUUGCUCGGAAUUACUGGGCGUAAAGGGCGCGUAGGCGGAUAGUUUAGUCAGAGGUGAAAGCCCAGGGCUCAACCUUGGAAUUGCCUUUGAUACUGGCUAUCUUGAGUUCGGGAGAGGUGAGUGGAAUGCCGAGUGUAGAGGUGAAAUUCGUAGAUAUUCGGCGGAACACCAGUGGCGAAGGCGACUCACUGGCCCGAUACUGACGCUGAGGAGCGAAAGCGUGGGGAGCGAACAGG